rnacentral:ncRNA from 1 species
AUGUUGUAUGAAAGAAAAGAAGGUUAGCACUCUCCUUGAUAGGGAUGGAAGAGGUCCUAAUGGCCUUUACAACACAUAUAUGGCUAAGGAAUUGCCACCUAAUCUGUGUCAUCUAACCAUCGUACAAC